UCAAAGUAAAGUGGUCAUAGUUCACUUUAGCUUCAUCAUCCUUGAAGAAGACAAAUCCUAGAUUGUAAAUCUGGACAAUUCAGGAUUUAUUCCCAAUCCCGGCAGACAGUUUUACUCACUUAGGAGGAAUUCAUCAAACAAAACAUGUUAUCAUCAGCACAAGUUUUCUCAGUCCCCCACACCUUACAGAAAUAGAGCUGACUCCAAGGCACAAAGUAAAGGAAGUGCUUAAUGUCAGUCACUGCAACUGACUCCUUUAUUUUCAACAGGAGGCCAGAAUAUUUAGAUGCUGUCUUCUUUUGUUGACUGGAUGUUGCUGGAAAGCAGGGAGAAAUGCCUAGAUUUGCACUUUGCAUGCAGAAGCUUCUCUUUGUGAGCUAGGAGCUGAUUCCAGAAGCUGAAUGCACCCUUGGACUCUGGGGCUUCAAUGACCUUGCACAACAAACUGUUAUACAAUGCUGACAGGGAGACCUCUGAAGAAUGAAGGUGUAGAUGCCAGUCCACUGAUGGCUCUUCACCUAUUUCUCUCCCUCACCCUGCACAUCCCUUCAGAGUUUAAAUGGCAGAGAGAACAUUCCCUGAGAAAGUGAAUUUAUCCAUAGUGUAUGAACAAGACUCCACAUGAUUACUGCAUAUUCUGUUUCCUUUUCAUUUUUAAGUGUCUUAUUAGUUUUUAUAUGGAUUUGUUGACAAACACAUUUUAAAGGGUAGUGACUCGGUAUGGUUUCACUGUAUUUGUUCUCAGACU